rnacentral:rRNA from 1 species
CCUACGGGAGGCAGCAGUAGGGAAUAUUGCUCAAUGGGGGAAACCCUGAAGCAGCAACGCCGCGUGGGGGAUGAAGGUUUUCGGAUUGUAAACUCCUUUUGUUAGAGAAGAUAAUGACGGUAUCUAACGAAUAAGCACCGGCUAACUCCGUGCCAGCAGUCGCGGUAAUACGGAGGGUGCAAGCGUUACUCGGAAUCACUGGGCGUAAAGGGCGCGUAGGCGGGAUAGCAAGUCAGAUGUGAAAUCCUAUGGCUUAACCAUAGAACUGCAUUUGAAACUGUUAUUCUAGAGUAUGGGAGAGGUAGGUGGAAUUCUUGGUGUAGGGGUAAAAUCCGUAGAGAUCAAGAGGAAUACUCAUUGCGAAGGCGACCUGCUAGAACAUAACUGACGCUGAUGCGCGAAAGCGUGGGGAGCAAACAGGAUUAGAUACCCCGGUAGUC